rnacentral:rRNA from 1 species
UACGUAGGGUGCGAGCGUUAAUCGGAAUUACUGGGCGUAAAGCGUGCGCAGGCGGGCUUUUAAGCCAGACGUGAAAUCCCCGGGCUUAACCUGGGAAUGGCGUUUGGGACUGGAAGUCUGGAGUGCGGCAGAGGAGACUGGAAUUCCUGGUGUAGCAGUGAAAUGCGUAGAUAUCAGGAGGAACACCGAUGGCGAAGGCAGGUCUCUGGGCUGAUACUGACGCUCAUGCACGAAAGCGUGGGGAGCAAACAGG